AUUAAAAACUGGGAGAAAAAAAGAUUGUUGGAAGUCCGGCCUCGCGUUGCUCUCGCGGCUUCCCCUCGCGCUGCUCUCGCGGCUGCUCCGCAGAAACUGUGUAAACCAGCGAAUAACAACAACAACAAUCCGGCUCGGGCAGCGCUGCACAAAAUGCCGACCGGAAGAAUUGCAGGGGGACAAACUCCCCCUCACUCUGGAUGAACCAAUCGGCUAUGACUCUGAAGAAUCCGCUUCCGUUCACUAGCUCGUCUUUUUCCGUGUACAGUGGGGAAGUGCACCCAGCAAAAGAGGCAGGUCGUUGUCUGGGUACUUAUUGUUCAAAAUCCAAUAGUUCUGAUACUUCUAGUGUUGCUGAUCAUGUAGCUUCCAACUUCGUGCGUUUUGUGGCAAAAUGCUGACAAAAUCUAAAUGUGUAUCCACAGGUUAUGUAUUUUGGGACAUUGCUUUUGACUAUUAAGAACUCCCUUUUAUGAAGAUGUUGCCUUUGUUUUUUUUUUGUCUGCCAUUGUAACAUGUCGGGUAAAAGCUGGUAUAACGUUGUGUGGUAAAUGCAGUACGCCUAUCUGAAAAGGACAGGAUAGAAUUGCUGAUCUAUGCAAUGAUUAUCCUGCCUAUGCCCAAGCUGUAUUGUAUCUAUGACGGGCUUUUAAAAUGAAGCCAUUUCAAACUGAAAUAUUGUUGCCUUCCUAUUAAUACCUAUGAAGCUGGCAUGUAAGCAACAAGCACCCUAUGGCAUGGAUAAAGCUUUGUAAGUUCAAUUUUUAAACAUGAUUUUCAUUUGUUCUGGCAUUCCAUUACAUGUAUACCCCCAUAGUCUGUGCAUUGAUCUGAUUUUUUCUGUUUUCAACUUGUUUGCAGAAUGUGAACAUGUUUGCUGUUGUCUAAUCCAUAGCAGCUGUCUGUUUUAUUGUUCCAUUGGUCAGAAGAAUAUCAAUAAAUAUCCAGAGGAAUUUAGUACA